UACGAAGGGGGCUAGCGUUGUUCGGAUUCAUUGGGCGUAAAGGGUGCGUAGGCGGCGCGGUAAGUCGGGUGUGAAAUCUCGGAGCUUAACUCCGAAACUGCAUUCGAUACUGCCGUGCUUGAGGACUGGAGAGGAGACUGGAAUUACGGUGUAGCGGUGAAAUGCGUAGAUAUCGUAAGGAAGACCAGUGGCGAAGGCGGGUCUCUGGACAGUUCCUGACGCUGAGGCACGAAGGUCAGGGGAGCAAACGGG
rnacentral:rRNA from 1 species